GCAUGUCAACUUUGUUGCUAAUCAUUAUAUUGACCCCAUUCGAAGCUUCGCAUCUCCUAACUGGCAGUGUUGUUUCCGCGUGAUUUGCUUUGGUAUUUCGCUUAAGAAUGCACCUGUGUUCAAGCCUGCUACCGGCGGGCAGGUUCAUAUAUAGCUCCAUUCCGCCUUCAGCGAAGACAAGGGCCAGAUAAGCUCCGUUCACCAUCGUCAAGCAAAGGUUAAGAGCUUCGAACUUAAGCAAGCUGCUUGCGAACCCAAACUUCACCAAGUUAUCUCUGGUCGAUUCUCGGUUUUCGUUCAGAUGGCCGCUGAACUGAUGAACCGUUCCCGUAGCUUGGCCGAAGGAGCUGUGGUCAUGGUAUGCCCUGUGCUUCUAGCAUUGUCUCUUGACAAGGUCGACCUCAAAGUGUAUGGGCGCCCUGCUUUCUUCGCCAUGCUUGCCAUGGCAGGUAUCACUUUAAUAACCGCUAUCUGCCCCUUGCUCGUGUGUUGCUUCACCAAGAGGUUCCCAAACAUGGGUAACAUCGAGCCUGCCCCGGUGACGGCGAGCCUGGCAACCCUCUCAUCUUCUUGCCUCCUCAUCCUCGCCUGCUUCAUGGCGCAGCUCGUUGUCUCCAAACAAGUUUUAAUCGCCGUGGGCGUCCUAUGUGGAGCCUUCAUCCUAGUUCGAGCGGUCUCGUACUGCCUCGGCGGAAAUGGUGACCCGUAUUCACCGGAUCUGCACAAGGUACUGGAUUAAUCACAUGAGUUCUUGACGGGCGUCACUGGAAUCCUCUUUCUGGGGCUUGAAGGUUUGGCACUAGAAGGUCAUGAGAAUCAGAUGGUUCUGAAGGUCGUGCUUGUGGGCACCAUCAGCUUCAUAGUUUGCGCUCUUGGUGUGUGCAUGAUGUACCUCGAGAUGAUCCCCCCUUUAUACUUCAAGGAAAGGGGAGAGGGAGAGAUUGUGUGUUUAACUCUGACGCUCGACAGCAUCAUGGCUGGUGGUA